rnacentral:rRNA from 1 species
AACGAACGCUGGCGGCAUGCCUAACACAUGCAAGUCGAACGAGACCUUCGGGUCUAGUGGCGCACGGGUGCGUAACGCGUGGGAACCUGCCCUUAGGUUCGGAAUAACUCCCCGAAAGGGGUGCUAAUACCGGAUAAUGUCUUCGGACCAAAGAUUUAUCGCCUUUGGAUGGGCCCGCGUUGGAUUAGAUAGUUGGUAGGGUAAAAGCCUACCAAGGCGACGAUCCAUAGCUGGUCUGAGAGGAUGAUCAGCCACACUGGGACUGAGACACGGCCCAGACUCCUCCGGGAGGCAGGAAUGGGGGACAUUGGAACAUGGGGGGAAGGAUGAAGCCGCAAUGCCCGGUGAGUUAUGAAAGGCUUAGGGUUGUAAAGCUCUUUUAACCGGGAUGAUAAUGACAGUACCGGGAGAAUAAGCUCCGGCUAACUCCGUG